rnacentral:rRNA from 1 species
UACAGAGGGGGCAAGCGUUGUUCGGAAUUAUUGGGCGUAAAGGGCGCGUAGGCGGUGCGGUAAGUCUUUUGUGAAAUCUCCGGGCUCAACUCGGAGUCUGCAGGAGAAACUGCCGUGCUUGAGUGUGGGAGAGGUGAGUGGAAUUCCUGGUGUAGCGGUGAAAUGCGCAGAUAUCAGGAAGAACACCCGUGGCUAAGGCGGCUCUCUAGUACGGUACUGACGCUGAGACGCGAAAGCGUGGGGAGCGAACAGG